rfam:Anopheles gambiae str. PEST chromosome 2L, whole genome shotgun sequence.
AGCAAUACCGCACUGAUACGGGUAUGGUCUGACGCCUCUCGAAGGCUAAUAUAGGAUCUCCAUACCCUACUCCGACUCAAUACGUCCACGGCGUACAGAACGGUAACAUAUUUCUCCAAAUAUUUGAGCUUGGGUAUACGGGGAAACCCAACCCCUUGGGAAGAUGGGCUAUAUGGCUAAAUUGAGCGGG